rnacentral:rRNA from 1 species
GACAGAGGGUGCGAGCGUUAAUCGGAGUGACUGGGCGUAAAGGGCGUGCAGGUGGUUACCAUGGUUGAGUGUGAAAGCCCCCGGCUUAACCGGGGAAGGGCAUCUCAUACUGCUUGGCUUGAGUACGGGAGAGGAUGUGGGAAUUCCUGGUGUAGCGGUGAAAUGCGUAGAUAUCAGGAGGAACACCGGUGGCGAAGGCGCACAUCUGGCCCGAUACUGACGCUGAGGCGCGAAAGCUAGGGGAGCAAACGGG